AGAUGGGGUACCCCUCAAAAAAUAGGGACGGAGAUGGGGUCCUAGACUGCUAGACGUGACCCGCCGCCGCCGUGACCACGCGAGGUGUGAAGCUACCUCGCCAGACUGCCUCAUCGCUCCGGGAACGAUCUGCGCCUUGCACGUCGGCUGGUCCUUACCGUUCUUUGGUUCUUGGAUUCAGAAGAUCGGUACAAGCACUACGUGUUUUUAUCAAUCGAGGUAUUGUUCAUAUGAAGUACUGAUCUGGUUGUUUUGGAGUGGGUAUGGGUAUAUUCCAGUUUAUUUGGUGAGCAUGGAAGCACUGGUCGCAUAAAGCACUGUUGCAGAAAAAGUUACUGUUCUAGAAAUAAUAUUUUGGUUUCUUCU